UACGGGGGGAGCAAGCGUUGUUCGGAUUUACUGGGCGUAAAGGGCGCGUAGGCGGCCACCGCAAGUCGACUGUGAAAUCUCCGGGCUUAACUCGGAAAGGUCAGCCGAUACUGCGGGGCUAGAGUGCAGAAGGGGCAACUGGAAUUCUCGGUGUAGCGGUGAAAUGCGUAGAUAUCGAGAGGAACACCUGCGGCGAAGGCGGGUUGCUGGGCUGACACUGACGCUGAAGCGCGAAAGCUAGGGGAGCAAACAGG
rnacentral:rRNA from 1 species